UACGAAGGGGGCUAGCGUUGCUCGGAAUCACUGGGCGUAAAGCGCACGUAGGCGGAUUGUUAAGUCAGGGGUGAAAUCCUGGAGCUCAACUCCAGAACUGCCUUUGAUACUGGCGAUCUUGAGUACGGAAGAGGCGAGUGGAAUUCCUGGUGUAGCGGUGGAAUGCGCAGAUAUCAGGAAGAACACCCGUGGCGAAAGCGGCUCUCUGGGACGGUACUGACGCUGAGACGCGAAAGCGUGGGGAGCGAACAGG
rnacentral:rRNA from 1 species